GAGGGAACAGAGGCAGGAGGAGGUAACUCCCACCUGACACUUUUGUUCUCCCCGUCCGCCCACCUCCCUGCUUCCCCACCAGGGAUCGCCUGCUGGAUCGCCCUGUGUGCUGUGGAGGCCCUCCCCACCUGCCCUUUCUCCUGUAAGUGUGACACCCGCAGCCUGGAGGUGGAUUGCAGUGGCCUAGGCCUCACCAUGGUGCCCCCAGACUUGCCUGCUGCCACCCGAACUCUCUUGCUCUUGAACAAUAAGCUGAGUGCCCUGCCAAGCUGGGCAUUCGCCAAUCUGUCCAGUCUGCAGCGGUUGGACCUAUCCAACAACUUCCUGGACCAGCUGCCCCGCUCCAUUUUCGAGGACCUGACGAAUCUGACUGAGCUGCAGCUGCGCAAUAACAGCAUCAGGACCCUGGACAGAGACCUGCUGCAGCACUCGCCCCUGCUCCGCCACCUAGACCUGUCCAUCAACGGCCUGGCCCAGCUGCCCACUGGCCUUUUUGACGGACUCCCUGCUCUGCGCUCCUUAUCGCUGCGCUCCAACCGCCUGCAGAACCUGGAUCGGCUGACAUUUGAACCCCUAGCAAGUCUGCAGCUACUGCAGGUUGGGGACAACCCCUGGGAGUGUGACUGUAACUUGCGUGAUUUCAAGCACUGGAUGGAGUGGUUCUCUUACCGAGGUGAGCACAGCCAGCCCUGCGUGGGUGUGAGGAAUUGGGAGGGUCACCCCUGAUCCAACGCAUUUCCUGGAGGUUGGGCUAAGGUCAGGGGAGAAGGGGUGGCCCCGCCUCUUCACCAGCCACACUGGAAGUC